rnacentral:rRNA from 1 species
GUAGGUGGCAAGCGUUAUCCGGAAUUAUUGGGCGUAAAGCGCGCGUAGGCGGGUUUUUUAAGUCUGAUGUGAAAGCCCACGGGCUCAACCGUGGAGGGUCAUUGGAAACUGGAAAACUUGAGUGCAGAAGAGGAAAGUGGAAUUCCAUGUGUAGCGGUGAAAUGCGCAGAGAUAUGGAGGAACACCAGUGGCGAAGGCGACUUUCUGGUCUGUAACUGACGCUGAUGUGCGAAAGCGUGGGGAUCAAACAGGAUUAGAUACCCUGGUAGUCCACGCCGUAAACGAUGAGUGCUAAGUGUUAGGGGGUUUCCGCCCCUUAGUGCUGCAGCUAACGCAUUAAGCACUCCGCCUGGGGAGUACGACCGCAAGGUUG